GGUUGAUCCUGCCAGUAGUCAUAUGCUUGUCUUAAAGACUAAGCCAUGCAUGUCUAAGUAUAAAUAUUAUACAGUGAAACUGCGAAUGGCUCAUUAAAACAGUUAUAGUUUAUUCGAUAAUUUCUCCUACAUGGAUAACCGUAGUAAUUCUAGAGCUAAUACAUGCUGUCAAACCUGACUUCUUGGAAGGGUUGUAUUUAUUAGAUAUCUCAUUAGCAACUGGCUGGCUAAGUUUGGAUGGAGUGAAAUAAGUCAAAUUUUGAUAAAAUAUAUGAUCCAUAUUUUAAGGUAU
rnacentral:rRNA from 1 species